AUUGAACUCUGGCGGCAGGCCUAACACAUGCAAGUCGAGCGAUCGGCGGACGGGUGAGUAAUGUAUGGGGACUGCCCGAUAGCGGGGGAUAACUACUGGAAACGGUAGCUAAUACCGCAUACUAUCCGAUAACCCAUAUGGGAUUAGCUAGUAGGUGAGUUAAUGGCUCACCUAGGCGACGAUCCCUAGCUGGUCUGAGAGGAUGAUCAGCCACACUGGGACUGAGACACGGCCCAGACGCCUACGGAGGCAGCAGUGGGGAAUAUUGCACAAUGGGAGCAAGCCUGAUGCAGCAAUGCCGCGUGUAUGAAGAAGGCCCUAGGGUUGUAAAGUACUUUCAGUCGGGAGGCGUUACCGACAGAAGAAGCACCGGCUAACUCCGUGCCAGCCGCCGCGGUAAUUC
rnacentral:rRNA from 1 species